UAAGUAGUUUAAGUUGUGUGCAAGUGGUAGGAGAGCGUUCUAUUUGCGUCGAAGGUAUACCGGUAAGGAGUGCUGGAGCGAAUAGAAGUGAGCAUGCAGGCAUGAGUAGCGAUAAUUAAUGUGAGAAUCAUUAACGCCGUAAACCCAAGGUUUCCUACGCGAUGCUCGUCAUCGUAGGGUUAGUCGGGUCCUAAGUCGAGUCCGAAAGGGGUAGACGAUGGCAAAUUGGUUAAUAUUCCAAUACCAACAUUAGUGUGCGAUGGAAGGACGCUUAGGGCUAAGGGGGCUAGCGGAUGGAAGUGCUAGUCUAAGGUCGUAGGAGGUUAUACAGGCAAAUCCGUAUAACAAUACUCCGAGAACUGAAAGGCUUUUUGAAGUCUUCGGAUGGAUAGAAGAACCCCUGAUGCCGUCGAGCCAAGAAAAGUUUCUAAGUUUAGCUAAUGUUGCCCGUACCGUAAACCGACACAGGUGGGUGGGAUGAGUAUUCUAAGGCGCGUGGAAGAACUCUCUUUAAGGAACUCUGCAAAAUAGCACCGUAUCUUCGGUAUAAGGUGUGGUUAGCUUCGUACUAGGAUUUACUCCGAAAGCGAAGAAACUUACAACAAAGAGUCCCUCCCGACUGUUUACCAAAAACACAGCACUCUGCUAACUCGUAAGAGGAUGUAUAGGGUGUGACGCCUGCCCGGUGCUCGAAGGUUAAUUGAUGGGGUUAGCAUUAGCGAAGCUCUUGAUCGAAGCCCGAGUAAACGGCGGCCGUAACUAUAACGGUCCUAAGGUAGCGAAAUUCCUUGUCGGUUAAAUACCGACCUGCAUGAAUGGCGUAACGAGAUGGGAGCUGUCUCAAAGAGGGAUCCAGUGAAAUUGUAGUGGAGGUGAAAAUUCCUCCUACCCGCGGCAAGACGGAAAGACCCCGUGGACCUUUACUACAGCUUGACACUGCUACUUGGAUAAGAAUGUGCAGGAUAGGUGGGAGGCUUUGAGUAUAUGACGCCAGUUGUAUAUGAGCCAUUGUUGAGAUACCACUCUUUCUUAUUUGGGUAGCUAACCAGCUUGAGUUAUCCUCAAGUGGGACAAUGUCUGGUGGGUAGUUUGACUGGGGCGGUCGCCUCCCAAAUAAUAACGGAGGCUUACAAAGGUUGGCUCAGAACGGUUGGAAAUCGUUCGUAGAGUAUAAAGGUAUAAGCCAGCUUAACUGCAAGACAUACAAGUCAAGCAGAGACGAAAGUCGGUCUUAGUGAUCCGGUGGUUCUGUGUGGAAGGGCCAUCGCUCAAAGGAUAAAAGGUACCCCGGGGAUAACAGGCUGAUCUCCCCCAAGAGCUCACAUCGACGGGGAGGUUUGGCACCUCGAUGUCGGCUCAUCGCAUCCUGGGGCUGGAGCAGGUCCCAAGGGUAUGGCUGUUCGCCAUUUAAAGCGGUACGCGAGCUGGGUUCAGAACGUCGUGAGACAGUUCGGUCCCUAUCUGCCGUGGGCGUAAGAAGAUUGAAGAGAUUUGACCCUAGUACGAGAGGACCGGGUUGAACAAACCACUGGUGUAGCUGUUGUUCUGCCAAGAGCAUCGCAGCGUAGCUAAGUUUGGAAAGGAUAAACGCUGAAAGCAUCUAAGCGUGAAGCCAACUCUAAGAUGAAUCUUCUCUAAGCUCUCUAGAAGACUACUAGUUUGAUAGGCUGGGUGUGUAAUGGAUGAAAGUCCUUUAGCUGACCAGUACUAAUAGAGCGUUUGGCUUAUCUUU
rnacentral:rRNA from 1 species